UUCAGGAAAAUAUUCAGAAAGUAUAAAAUCAAAACCAAGCCAGCUUCAUUUUCGGUUCAUCCGCAUCUCAGUUCAGAAAAAAAAUCGUGGAAAACAAAUAACCAACUCAUAGCUAUUCUAACAGAUUUUUUUUACCUUCCACUCUCCGUUGAGCUGCAUCUUCAUCGCACAAUAAGUCUGCAAUCUGCAUCUUCGUUCAACAACGACAUCACAAACCCAAAUCAAAAAACAAAAGAGGGAAUCGGAGAAAGAGGAAAACAUAAUCGUUUGGAAUGA